GACGAACGCUGGCGGCGUGCUUAACACAUGCAAGUCGAACGGAAAGGCCCUGCUUUUGUGGGGUGCUCGAGUGGCGAACGGGUGAGUAACACGUGAGUAACCUGCCCUUGACUUUGGGAUAACUUCAGGAAACUGGGGCUAAUACCGGAUAGGAGCUCCUGCUGCAUGGUGGGGGUUGGAAAGUUUCGGCGGUUGGGGAUGGACUGGCGGCUUAUCAGCUUGUUGGUGGGGUAGUGGCUUACCAAGGCUUUGACGGGUAGCCGGCCUGAGAGGGUGACCGGCCACAUUGGGACUGAGAUACGGACCAGACUCCUACGGGAGGCAGCAGUGGGGAAUAUUGCACAAUGGGCGGAAGCCUGAUGCAGCAACGCCGCGUGCGGGAUGACGGCCUGCGGGUUGUAAACCGCUUUCGCCUGUGACGAAGCGUGAGUGACGGUAAUGGGUAAAGAAGCACCGGCUAACUACGUG
rnacentral:rRNA from 1 species